rnacentral:rRNA from 1 species
GAGUUUGAUUCUGGCUCAGGACGAACGCUGGCGGCGUGCGUAACACAUGCAAGUCGAACGAUGAAGCCUUAGCUUGCUUUGGUGGAUUAGUGGCGAACGGGUGAGUAAUACGUGAGCAACGUGCCCUUCCCUCUGGAAUAACUUCGAGAAAUCGGAGCUAAUACUGGAUAUGAGGUCCUGUCGCAUGGCGGGGUCUGGAAAGAUGUUUCGGGGGAGGAUCGGCUCACGGCCUAUCAGCUUGUUGGUGAGGUAAUGGCUUACCAAGGCGACGACGGGUAGCCGGCCUGAGAGGGUGACCGGCCACACUGGGACUGAGACACGGCCCAGACUCCUACGGGAGGCAGCAGUGGGGAAUAUUGCACAAUGGGCGGAAGCCUGAUGCAGCAACGCCGCGUGGGGGAUGACGGCCUUCGGGUUGUAAACCUCUUUUAGUAGGGAAGAAAGCGAGAGUGACGUACUNANA